rnacentral:rRNA from 1 species
UGAGACACGGUCCAAACUCCUACGGGAGGCAGCAGUGAGGAAUAUUGGUCAAUGGGCGAGAGCCUGAACCAGCCAAGUAGCGUGAAGGAUGACUGCCCUAUGGGUUGUAAACUUCUUUUAUAAAGGAAUAAAGUCGGGUAUGCAUACCCGUUUGCAUGUACUUUAUGAAUAAGGAUCGGCUAACUCCGUGCCAGCAGCCGCGGUAAUACGGAGGAUCCGAGCGUUAUCCGGAUUUAUUGGGUUUAAAGGGAGCGUAGAUGGAUGUUUAAGUCAGUUGUGAAAGUUUGCGGCUCAACCGUAAAAUUGCAGUUGAUACUGGAUAUCUUGAGUGCAGUUGAGGCAGGCGGAAUUCGUGGUGUAGCGGUGAAAUGCUUAGAUAUCACGAAGAACUCCGAUUGCGAAGGCAGCCUGCUAAGCUGCAACUGACAUUGAGGCUCGAAAGUGUGGGUAUCAAACAGGAUUAGAUACCCUGGUAGUCCACACGGUAAACGAUGAAUACUCGCUGUUUGCGAUAUACGGCAAGCGGCCAAGCGAAAGCGUUAAGUAUUCCACCUGGGGAGUACGCCGGCAACGGUGAAACUCAAAGGAAUUGACGGGGGCCCGCACAAGCGGAGGAACAUGUGGUUUAAUUCGAUGAUACGCGAGGAACCUUACCCGGGCUUAAAUUGCAGAUGAAUUACGGUGAAAGCCGUAAGCCGCAAGGCAUCUGUGAAGGUGCUGCAUGGUUGUCGUCAGCUCGUGCCGUGAGGUGUCGGCUUAAGUGCCAUAACGAGCGCAACCCUUGUUGUCAGUUACUAACAGGUUCCGCUGAGGACUCUGACAAGACUGCCAUCGUAAGAUGUGAGGAAGGUGGGGAUGACGUCAAAUCAGCACGGCCCUUACGUCCGGGGCUACACACGUGUUACAAUGGGGGGUACAGAGGGCCGCUACCACGCGAGUGGAUGCCAAUCCCAAAAACCUCUCUCAGUUCGGACUGGAGUCUGCAACCCGACUCCACGAAGCUGGAUUCGCUAGUAAUCGCGCAUCAGCCACGGCGCGGUGAAUACGUUCCCGGGCCUUGUACACACCGCCCGUCAAGCCAUGGGAGCCGGGGGUACCUGAAGUGCGUAACCGCGAGGAGCGCCCUAGGGUAAAACUGGUGACUGGGGCUAAGUCGUAACAAGGUAGCCGUACCGGAAGGUGCGGCUG